rnacentral:rRNA from 1 species
UACGUAGGGUGCGAGCGUUAAUCGGAAUUACUGGGCGUAAAGCGUGCGCAGGCGGCUUUGCAAGACAGAUGUGAAAUCCCCGGGCUCAACCUGGGAACUGCAUUUGUGACUGCAAGGCUAGAGUACGGCAGAGGGGGAUGGAAUUCCGCGUGUAGCAGUGAAAUGCGUAGAUAUGCGGAGGAACAUCAAUGGCGAAGGCAAUCCCCUGGGCCUGUACUGACGCUCAUGCACGAAAGCGUGGGGAGCAAACAGG